rnacentral:rRNA from 1 species
AACGAACGCUGGCGGCAUGCCUAACACAUGCAAGUCGAACGAGACCUUCGGGUCUAGUGGCGCACGGGCGCGUAACGCGUGGGAACCUGCCUUUAGGCUCGGAAUAACUCAGAGAAAUUUGAGCUAAUACCGGAUGAUGUCUUCGGACCAAAGAUUUAUCGCCUUUAGAUGGGCCCGCGUUGGAUUAGCUAGUUGGUGGGGUAAAGGCCUACCAAGGCGACGAUCCAUAGCUGGUCUGAGAGGAUGAUCAGCCACACUGGGACUGAGACACGGCCCAGACUCCUACGGGAGGCAGCAGUGGGGAAUAUUGGACAAUGGGCGAAAGCCUGAUCCAGCAAUGCCGCGUGAGUGAUGAAGGCCUUAGGGUUGUAAAGCUCUUUUACCCGAGAUGAUAAUGACAGUAUCGGGAGAAUAAGCUCCGGCUAACUCCGUG